GAUGAACGCUGGCGGCGUGCCUAAUACAUGCAAGUCGAGCGAACGGACGAGAAGCUUGCUUCUCUGAUGCUAGCGGCGGACGGGUGAGUAACACGUGGAUAACCUACCUAUAAGACGGGGAUAACUUCGGGAAACCGGAGCUAAUACCGGAUAAUAUUUUGAACCGCAUUGUUCAAAAGUGAAAGACGGUCUUGCUGUCUCUGAUAGAUGGAUCCGCGCUGCAUUAGCUAGUUGGUAAGGUAACGGCUUACCAAGGCAACGAUGCAUAGCCGACGUGAGAGGGUGAUCGGCCACACUGGAACUGAGACACGGUCCAGACUCCUACGGGAGGCAGCAGUAGGGAAUGUGCCGCAAUGGGCGAAAGCCUGACGGAGCAACGCCGCGUGAGUUAUGACGGUCUUGCGAUCGUAAAACUCUGUUAUUAGGGAAGAACAUAUGUGGAAGUAACUGUGCACAUCUUGACGGUAACUAAUCAGAAAGCCACGGCUAACUACGUG
rnacentral:rRNA from 1 species